rnacentral:tRNA from 1 species
CCGCGAUCUGGCCCGCCUUCUUGGGGAAGGCCUGCUCGUAGCGCGCCCCGAUGGCGUCGAAGGCCGCUACCUGGUCGGUGCGGUCCGUCACCGCGGCCC